CUCCUCCUCCCCCCCGCAUCUCCCUCCCUCCCACACAGCCUCCUCUCUCCCUCGCUCGCUCCUCAUCUGGCGACGGUGGCGGCGGCUCCCGCGCCCACGUUAUUCCUCCCACCAACCAUGGCGCUCCUUCCCAUCGCCAUGGACGAGCUUGAGCUCCAGGUGCUCCUUCUCCGCCCAAAAGCCCAAGGGCUUUGCGGGGCGGCAAGGGGCUCAGACUCAACCCGCCAACCCUAGCUGCCCCACGCCGCCGCCGGCUCCUCCUCCCUGCCUGCCGGAUCCCGUCGUCCGCAUCCCCGGCGUCGUCGCCGUUGCCAUCAUCCUCGCGUGCACUCGGCAGGAGAAGUGCAGCUCUCCUCUUAGCCCGUCUCAGUUCUCUCUUGCUCUCUCAGUCUACUUUCCAAACCCUAACCCUAACCCCUCUCCUCUUCUUCAUUAACUGUCGGCGAUUGGCAAGCGGAGCACGAGUCGAGUUGCGCCACCCCCGAUUCUGCAGUGCGCCCGACGGCUACUUUUGCAACAGCAGCGGUGGCAAGCCUUGGACUGGCUCGGGACACCAGAAGCGGGCAAUGAAGGCCAUUGCCAGGUCGUUAUGCUGGUUUUCUCUCCCUGUUGAUUGUUUAGCUCGACAAAAAUUGUCACAUUAUCAAGAGGCUCCAAGCGGUGUCACGGUCAGGAACCUUUGUUCCAGACAGGAAGAGAUGGUCAGGUAAUCAACCAUAUCUUGGAUUGUGUUUUUUGUGGUUUGUGGCAAAGUAAUACUCUUAUUUUCAAAUGUAUGGACUAAUAGGAGUCAUAAGUUGUACCUCAUUUCUGAUACAAAACUGAACUGGUUAUUUGGUUAUGAGAGACAUGUCAUGUGUCUGGUAUUCAGUGACAAGUCUGAAUGAAUAUAUUGAUCUGAGCAAGUAUUCAGUCCAUAUACUUGCGUUGUUGAUAUUUGAUUUUUAUUUUCUCAAUUAUAUGGACGUGUUAGUUCUUUAAAGAUCUCUCAGCUAUAAAAUUGUUCUAGGCUACUUAGGAUCCAACAAAUACUAGAGCGUAUAUACGCUGAAUUCUAUCCUUUCAGGUUAUUUCUGUUCCAUCCACUUCCAUUGUUGCAGGAAUCUUUUAGCGUUUGAUACUAUAUGGCAGAAUCUAUGCGUGCUAUUUCUGAUAAAUUUGAUCCCCCAUUUGUGGCUUAUUUCUCUAAUAGUUGCAUUCAGGGCUAUGCUAAAUCGAGUGAUGCUGCCGUUUAGUCGGCCAUUUGUUCUGGUUUACUUACAAGAUGAUACAAUGAUUUAAAUGGACCAUGCAAAUUUGUAUGAGCAAGCCUAAGAACUGUUCAUUCAGUUCCAAGACUGGAUUUGGUAUAAUCUUGGAUUGGCAACCAUUAUUAUGUUCCUAAUGUUCUGGUUGCCAUCAUGUCAUUUCCAAAUUACAAUAAGGUGAGCAUUGUAGGCUGAGAGAGAUCUUCUGAUAUUUUCAAGCCACAUCUUCACAAGGUUGCAAGUGACACACAGUUCGAAGAUUGUUGAUAUGUGAAGGCUGAGGCAAAAUUUUCAGUAACUACAAAGAGGGUACCAGCAUCAUCAAAUAAGAACAGUUCACCAGAUAUUUCAAUGUCAACUUUGAUGCAUGAAUGUAGAGUAUAUCAGAAAGAAGGUAAAGACGUGUAUGCAACACAUUUUAAGUUGUUAAAUAGUUUGGUUCUUCUAGCAGUAAGAUUUUGUUCCUUUUACAAGGCUAUUUUUGCAAGCUUAUUUGUUUAACUGGAGGGCCUAAUUAUGAUUUUGUUUCUUUUUAUUUGUAAUUGAGGUUCAUGUAUAUUGGAGGUGGAGGAGCACAAUAUGAAACAUCGACGUCCUUCCCAAGCACUCACCCCUCACUAGGUACAAUCUUGCACAUUAUUUUGUUACUACUGGUAUAUUGUCAAGUGAUGUCAUUUUGUGUGUAUUUUAGAACCAAAGUAAGGUCACUCAACGUGCCAGGCGAGCACCCUAGCCUUGAAGUCUCACAGCCUAGGCACUGUAGCCUCUUGCGCAGGGGUGGCCAAGAGUGGACGCUUGCUUUGCUUUCUCUUCCGUUCCCCGCCGGCCAUAUUGAUUUGCUUUCCUAGGUUCUGUUAUACUAGAUGUUUAUUCACCUGUUGUGAUAGCAUAUCUGAUUGUUUAUAUUGUUUGACAUGUAUUCCAUGCACGGAGUCACUUGGUUGUUUGAUGUGUUCGUGCUCGUCAGCGGGACGGUGAAAGGCGCAACUCCGAUGCGGUUCCUCGCCGGUUGGACGGCGUUCAAGCGCAACCCCGACGCGCACUGAGUACUACCUCGGCUACAAACUCCCUCGGUGAGCUCCAUCUUCCUAUGGGACAUGGCCAUGGCUAUAUUGAUGUGGGUCUCGUUUGGUUGAUGCUCUAUGCCCUACUCAUCCAUCGGUUCCUACUUGAGCUAUGUAGUUGUGGAUCCAUGCCAUUUAGAGUUUGCAGGCUGUUGUUCAUGUUUAGUUGCUAUCAUGGGAGCUCAUGUGAUGCUCUGGUUUACAUGUGGAUGCACUGGUCCUAUAGCUAUGCUCCUGGAUUUGCUAGAUUGAUCGGUGGCGUUCGUGGUAGGGCGAUGAUGAUUAAUCAUGGCUGAAAUAAGUGUGCCGUUGAGCAAUCAUGGCACCUGUGCGUAUCAGGUUGGAUCCUCCCUCUUGUCUCUAGAAUCCCUUUUGAUCCUGUGAUACUUGUUGUUGUCCUUGGAUGGUCAUUCUUGUUGAGUGAUAACCAGGGCAGCUCCAUUGUAUAAACAGAUUGAUCUGGUGAUAAGAGAUGACGGGGUAGGUUAUAUGAUCGAGGAAAGGCGAAUCUGAGACCACUAUGCAAUGAACCCUGAACCCUUUCUAUUUGUAUCCCCUUGUUAGAGUAUGAAGCAAAAUGGAGCUCUCCCGUUCAUUUGGAUUCUGGACCGUUCGAUCGUUUUCCUGAUGCGAUUCCGACCGUUGGAUCUCGGGCUCGGCUCACGUGAGGCGUCGGAUAUUUACCAGAUCGUUGCGAGCCGUUGGAUAAAAUUCCAAUUGAAACAAAAUGGAAAUACCAUGCCCCCAUCAGGGCAUCUGUGUCAUUUCGUGUACCGGCUAUAAAAUGACCGCGGCUUCCUGCAAUGAAAACCUAGUGGCCGCCUCCUCUCUCACUCGCUCCUGCAGCUGCCUCCCUCCCUCCCUCCCACACAGGUGGCUUCCACCAACCACGGCAGUAGCGGCCACAGAGGAGGGCAGCAGACCAGCGGCGCCGGCGAUGGCGUCCGUGGCAGCUAUGCAAUGAACCCCGAACCAUUUUUAUUUGUAUUUAAAGGGGUUGCUUAUUUAUGCUCAACUGGUGUUCGUGCUAGGGCGAUGAUGAUUACCUUGGCUGGAAUUAUUGUGCCUUUGAGCAAUCAAGGCACCUGUGGGUAUCAAGUUGGAUCCUCCCUCUUGUCUCUAGAAUCCUUUUUGAUCAUGUGAUACUUAUUGUUGUCCUUGGAUGGUCAUUCUUGUUGACUGAUAACCAGGGCAGCUCUACUAUAUAAAGAGAUUGAUCUGGUGAUAAGAGAUGAUGGGGGUAGGUUAUAUGAUCGAGGAAAGGUGAAUCUGAGCCCACUAUGCAAUAAAACUGCAGCUACCUCCCCUAAUGUGUGUAGUAUUGAAGGCAAAAAACAACUUUUCAUGUCUUUCUACGUUAAAAUUCCAAAAAGGUUCAUUCUUCCUUUGCUGGUUACUUAACCAUGAUUUUUGUUUUUCUUUGGUUCUGGUUGAGAUACUAUAGGUUGUUUAUAUAUGAAAAUAACAAACACUUGUAGUUUUGUAUGCCUCAGCUGUUGCUUAGGAUCCAGUGUUGUAGUGCUUUGCCUAAUUGCAAAUAACUCUAAUCAAUAAUAGUGGUUCUUUCCUUCUGAUUUGAACUGAGAGAGAACCACAUCUUAAGGUGACCCCAUUUUUCUAUGCCUCAUGCUCGUGCUGCUCUAUGUUCCCUUUAAAAAAUUCUUGCUAGCAUUUUGGGUUGGUUUCUGCUCUAUGUUCCCUUUUAGCGUUUCUUUCCGUUAGUAAAGGAGUAAAGCAUUUUUGUUGUCCUAUGACUAUGUUCAUGAUUUUUCUUUGCAGACAAUAAAAGAGGUCUUGGCUACAGGGAUGAGACCCACAUGUUUGGGAACAUAUUUUUUCCCUGUAGAAUACCUUUUAUUUCAGCUUCAUUAGAUGCACAUAUUCAUGAGAUUACAUUUAGCUAGAUUUAGAUUUUUCUGUGAUGUUUUCUUAGGUAUGCUUGCUCUUCCCAAAUGCGUUGAUGGUUUAAUGAAAUGCUCUUUGCACAUAAGUACUUUAACUUAUCGUAAUUAGAUAGGAUGUAUGGAAAUCAACAUUUGGAAUACAAAAGCAUUGAAAGAAAUGUUCAAUAUCUCUCAUCCAAAGUUAUGGUUGUAGUACUUUUCAGAAUUCUUUAGCUGGCUACUUUCUCUUUUCUCUUUACUCCUCACUUUGCUAUUACGUCUUACAUGGAAAAUAUAGGGAAAUAUCUGAAAAAUAAGGAAGUAACAAACCUAGGUAUGGCUACAAACUGAUGUUAGGAAAUUGUGUAGAUUCUGGUCAUUGGUCGGUUCAGGUUCUUGCAUUUUUAUUUUUAUAGUACAAAACAACUCAGUGAGUUGCAUCCAUUGCAAAUAACAUACCCACUAGCCAGAUCCUUAUAUUUUUAUUUUCAAGUCAUUUGCAUUUCCAUUAUUUAUCUUCCUGAUGUAAGAACUUUAGUGUUUCAGUUGAUUUUUUAAUAUAAAGCACUCUUCAGGUUGCCUUCAAGAAGCUUUAUAUUGUAUAUGUUUGUUUUUUUCUAUUUCAGCAAGCAUUGUAUGUACUCUUUUUCCUUUUAGUAUUAUCUAAUAGAGAAAAUCUUAGAGGUUAAGUAAGUGAACUCUUCAUCCCUUUCCUUGAGAUGUGAUUUAGCUUUACAGUUUAUUUUUUUUGUGAUUGGUGGACAAAAGCUUGCACUUGGCGCUUUGUAUUCUACUAACAGUGCAAGACCCAUACUAAUUUUCUUUUAGAGGUAACACUCUUAGUUUAUUCAUAGUGAGCAGUGCCACUUUACAUAGCAUUUACAUAAUUGAUAAUUGAUUAUAUAAAAUACAUUCUUGAAUAGGUUAUUCAUAUUUUUGUUUUUUUGCCCACACUUCCGUUUAGGGAAGCAUGAUCAAUCGUAUUUGUUACAGACAUCAUUUUGAAAUGUUUUGUCCUCUCAAGUUUAGUAUUAUUCACGAGUCAUAGUGUUUCUCUUUGGUUUGUUAACCGUAGUGGUGAUGUCAGCCGGUGAGCUUACUCUACCUCCGCUCUAUGACACAUAUUAGGACUAUGAUUUUAAUUUUGGUUUUCUUCUUUCCGUUUCGUCUUGCCAUUAUGUAAUUAUGUCAACAGGUCCUGCAGUGGGAACCAAAUGGUAGUUUGAUUUGAAUCAUGCUUGGUAAAAUCAAUAUGUAGUAAAUGUUAGUUUUGAGUUUGUGAACAACCAGAUCAUUUCUGUGGAUGCCUUGCGCAUAUAUAAUUAGCUCUCAUGUUGAUUUAGCUCAUGCAUUGGUCUGUAUAAUUGUUGUAGGUGAUUUGUGAGGAUAGCCCCAAUAAAUUUAUCUACAUUUGUACCUUCGUGUUUCCUGUUAAAGUGGUGCAAGCUAUGGCUUGGAGGUAGGUGUUCAUAUGACCUGAGAUAUCAUGUGUUGCUGAGGAGGUGAGCCAUCGGUGUGAGUUUCAGGAAGAGAUGACAACACAAGUGAGCUUGAUUGGUAAGUUCACGCAAAAGAAAAUGUGGUUUGUGGUGUUUCCCAUACGCCCUCAAGGUUAUCAUCAUGGUGCCGAUGACGAUAACACACACACACAAGUGCAAUGGUACUUUUUGGUGAUCCUAUCAUGAUAUUUUGGCCUCUAAAAUGUGUAGUUCGGCCAUGACAUAUUCCUCUUUUCCUAGCGUUUAUCACUGGUGACCUGAAACACAAGAUUAUGUUGUGCAAGAUCAUACCAUGACUUAAUAACUUCCUCUUCAGUUAUGUCAUUCAUUCUCAUUGGCUCAGUCAAUUAUAAUUGUUUGCACAUCUUUCACCUACUCCGCAUUGCACAAAGAGGAUCAGGAAGUUUCAUAUGGUAAAUGAUUUUCUUAUGAUAUAGCACUCCUGAUAGAAGCUUGAUUGUUAAUACUUUCAGAAAACUGGAUCAGGCACAAUGUUAAAGGACUAUAAAUCUGAUGGUUCAGUUUCACAUGCAAUUGACUUUUGUAUUAUUUUUUCCUACUUAUGCACUAUAUGCUAUAUGACCUUGGUGUGUGUAGUUACAAAAUACAGGACGGUUUGGUCAAAGGUUCAGACCACAGCGACUGCAGGAGCAUGCAUCACCUCAUGCGCUCUCCCCACCUCUUCUACAUGCUGAUGACCGCUUGCCACAUCAAUGCUGAGGGGAGGGGGGCAUAUGAUCGGUGCAUCACAACACAAGUAAAAUGGAUGGCAGGCGUGUCUACAGAGAUAUCUAUGUAAUUUUCUACUAUAUAGUUUACAACAAUGUUGUGUAAAAACAGUGUACAUAAGUUAUCCAGAACCACCACUAUGGUGUCUUUUUGGUGUUGUACUGAACCUUGAUACUUUGGUAUCAUGCUACAAAUUUAUAUAAAAUGCAUCAAUGAUGUGUAAUAAA